GUUCUUUUUUCCCACUGCCUACCCUACAGACAACUAAGAGAAAGUUGUGCAAUGUGCUGUGUGGUUGUGCUGUAAGGAAAACUGCACAGUGCAUCUGGUUGCUUGUGGACUAAGCAGAAAGGGAGACACUGUGCUGGGUAAUACUGUGCUGAUCUCCAGAGUCAGAGGCCAGCCCUUGUCCAAAUAGCAGCAUCUUUUCUGCUUCAUAUAAGGAGGGGAUGGAAGAAGGGGGCAGAUCAUGCCUGGUUGUGGACUUAUGAUGAAGCCAGGAUGUGGUUCUGAGUUCACUGCAUACAUCUGGACAUUCAAAUUUGAUAAAGACUGAAGGGCUAAUUCCUUUUUCUCUUCUCACUAUGGAAAUCACAUGGAAGCAGCAGGAGGAUUCCUAGCCUUGCACUAUUUCCUUCCCCUGUGAUCAUGAAGUUCUAUUGCUGCAUGAGCCCUGCUGCCUACCAUUUCAGAGAAGCUCAGCAAGAGAAUCCAAAGCUCAAGCUGGACUUCUGUUGCUGCUGGGGCAAGAACUUUCAGUGGAAUUCAAAACAGUCAGAAGCUAAGUAAGAAGCUGAGCAGAAUUUAUCAAUAACAAUCAACAGAAAGGGCAAGGGGAAGAUGUUUGGUUGGCUUUGUGUAGCUGCUGAGGAGACCUGCAUGGGAAGUGGGACCUUUCCCAGGAAUUGUGAGGCCACCUGCGACUUUAAACCUUCCUUCCUUCUACAAGUUAAAUGGUACCAUGAGGAUUCCAGUACUAGGAAUGCUGGUAUUUCUCUGGACCUCCAAACCUCAAGAUGUAACAGAUGUAACCUGAGCUUUGGGCAAAAUUGGCUCCUGAAUCUCACGCUAUGGCUUGAGUCCCAUCUCUAGGUUUAAGGUGACACCAGUCUGAGUCUCACCAUGAGGAGAGCUGCACGAGCAAGUCCUCCCUGCCAUCCAAGG
rnacentral:lncRNA from 1 species